AGACGUAGGGGGCGAGCGUUGUCCGGAAUUACUGGGCGUAAAGGGCACGCAGGCGGUGCGCCAAGUCGAGGGUGUAAAGUUACGGCUCAACCGUGACAUUGCAAUCGAUACUGGCGCGCUGGAGUGCGGGAGAGGGAAGUGGAAUUCCCGGUGUAGCGGCGAAAUGCGUAGAUAUCGGGAGGAACGCCAGUGGCGAAGGCGGCUUCCUGGCCCGCGACUGACGCUCAUGUGCGAAAGCCAGGGGAGCGAACCGGAUUAGAUACCCGGGUAGUCCUGGCCGUAAACGAUGGGUGCUAGGUGUAGGCGCGUCAAGCGUCUGUGCCGAAGUUAACGCGAUAAGCACCUCGCCUGGGGAGUACGGUCGCAAGGCCGAA
rnacentral:rRNA from 1 species